rnacentral:tRNA from 1 species
GAGGGUAUAGCUCAAGUGGUAGAAUGCAUGCUUAGCAUGCAGUAGGUGCUGGGUUCAAUCCCCAGUACCUCCA